GUCUGUUUUCAUCAGGCAUCUGCUAUGUGUUCUAAAGCCUUGUUCACUAAAUUCCACCAUGGGAAGGCAGAGCUGAAGCAUUGCUCACCCCCUACCGUGGGAAGACCAGCUCCUGUGAAUGCUGAUGUUUCCAUGCUUCAAAAAUCCAAUGUGGCUUAUAGAACAAGGGGAUUCUGACAGACUUUGGGAUCUGCAGCUGGAGCAGAUGGAUUAUGGCCUAGUUUCUGAGUGGAGACCCCUUCAGUGUAAUAAGCUUUUACCGGGGCACACAGUUCUACUCUCCCUCAAAAAUGGAACUCACAAAAGACUGAAGUAACUAUUACACCAGAGUUCUGUUAAACUUGGAGAUAUAAUGAGAUAAGGUUAUUAAUAGAAAUAUUGAUGAGGAGUUACUUACAGGAUCAGAGAUGAAUCAAAGGAACAACUUUGUCACGGAAAAGCACAAGGCAAUGUGGUGAUGAUUCCAGAAAAAAUACAAGUCUGGAAUUCUGUGCGUAGCCUGCAGAAAGAUA
rnacentral:sRNA from 1 species